UAACAGUGUAUGCAGGAUUCGUUGGGCGGCGAUCAUCAAGCGAGAUCAGACGCGAGUAUUUGUUAUUCGGUUUCUGUUUGCAUGGCUAGUUAAUGGUCAUAUAAUGGCCGUUUUGUGAAAGAAAUUUAGUUUUUUGGCUUAAUCGUGAGAUGAGAUUGAUCGAAUGCUGCCUGGCUGCCUUUACUUAUGAUUCAUAUAAUGGCAUUUUAAAUUGUGCAGAGUGAGAAGGACGAGGGCCUUGGUGUGGCAACUUGUAACACGGGGGUUGUUGUUGCGGUGGCUUUUCAAUUUCACGCGUAUCCCUGCUGCCAAGACUGUUCUUCGUUUAUUGUUUACACCGUUUGUCUCCCUUUUUAAACUUCGUUGGAAUGUUGGGAAAGCUUUAAACUGAUAGAAAGAGAUGGAAUGAAAUGAGUGGGCCCCCUGUUUGCUUCAGUCUAGUCAAUUGACGGACGGACACUCACACAUACACACAUACAACAUACGAAAACAACGGAGCAGUGUGGAAGUACGCAACCGUUGAUGUAACCGUUUCCGGUGUUGGUUGGUUGGUUUGUCAGAUUUUAAUAGACGACAGUGAGAAAGACGUUGCGGUCGGUUCCAAGGUGGGUUUUGAUUGUGAACGGAAGAGAGGCCGCAGCGAGAGUGCCAGUGUCGUAGGCGUGAAGUAUUUUCCGUCAUUAACAACACUCGACUGCGUCUACCGAGGCGAGAAGAAUGUAAAACCGAGUGAUAGUAGGAUUAGAUUUACCAUGUAUAGACGCAUGGGCGCAGGCACAGUGCGCCCGUUUGUAUGUGCUAAUGCGAAUGCGAUAAAGGGUGCAGCAUGAUAGGAUGGGCGUGUGUGAAGAAGACGCGAGAAAGGAGAAGAGGCAGUUAGCAGAAACGUGUCAAAACAUUCGACGUGCGCGUGUACGCAAAACUAUGAUUUUUGAGACCAACCUGCGUGUCGCGUCUGGUGCGAUCUGUUCCGUGUAGCUGUGUAAAUAAUUUUAAGUAAAUAUAUUUUGUAUCACAUUAUCAAGGCAUUCAACACUAUAGAGCUACCAUAGAGGGAGAAAUAGUAAGAGAGAAAGAGAGCACGAGAGUAUUGAUUUCGAUUUAAAUAGGGGAUCGACUUUUCCCUUCUUUUACCAGUAUGUGCGCGCCCGCCAGCGGUUACACCCGCGGUUUUAUGGUGACUCGCUCUUUCCUUGAUCUUUUUCUCUGCACGUACCAUGGUCCGCGAGUUCCUUUUUGGUCAUUUUAUGUUGUGGCGUACCUUGCGUACGUGCUAGUGUUGAUUGCCAGAUUUAUUUGCAAUAAGUAAAGCGACCAGCCAGCGGGUAUAUUGUAAAAAAAAAACAAAAUACAUCCACAGCAAACCACAAAUGACACCACUUGUAAAUGACCGGUGUGCGGUGUGGAGAGGAGAGUAACAAAGCAAACAGCAGUGUAGUGCGAUACUAUUUAACAAUGCAGUAAGAUAGAAAGCCUCAGAGAAUACCCGACGAAUGCGACGAGAAUGACUAAAGUAUAAAAUUGGCGCGACUGAGCGCGCAUCACACUGUUAGUCCAAAGAUUAUGCAUUAAAACUUGAGAGCUCGUCGUAGUUAGAGGCGGGCUAUAGAGAUGCGCGAGUGCGUUUGUAUAAUAGACAUGCCGCGUGACACCGUUGGUUGAUCUGGGGGUGGAUCAAGCAAAAUGAAACGCCCCAACAGUUACCAUUCAUCCACACUUGCGCGAUAACACGUGUUAGUUAGUUGGAUGGAUGGAAUCAAUAAGCAUCGUUUAAGUGUUUACUCUAAUGAAGCAAUGCAAACAAACAAACACACACACACACACUCACACACAUACACACAUACACUUUACUCUCUAGAAUGGGGCUUCAGUAGAAUGUUGCGUUGGUUUGUUUGGGCCCUAGAUUAAUGCGUUUGUAUAAAGCAGGCAAAAGAAGUAAUAGAAGAAGAAGAAAGGAGACGAAACACAUCUGCGUGUGAAAAUGCAUGGCUCUGGGCCAUUGCAUGAAUAAUCAAAAUAAUCCCAACCCCCUUGUUAACCACGGUCGGACUUGCGUCCUAGGUUUAACUAAUAAGACGCUAACACCGCAAAUAGCGUCAUUUGUGCGAUCUUCUAGUUUGUUGGUUCUUUUGGUUCCUCUCCCUCCCUAACAUACACACAAUCAAAUGAACACAACAAUAUCAUCGCAGAACUGAAGUGUUCUGUGUGGCACGCGUGCAUGUGCAGUUCUGUUAGGCCUUUCACCACCAUGAUUCACAUGAUGAUUGUUCCAUAAUGCGCGCUGCUCCAUAGAUGCCGUAGGCAUUUCCCUUCGGCCAUACUGCCUGGCCUCUUAUUGAGAUAAUAAUUACCAUUACAGUGUAGGUUGAGAAGGGUGAGGUGUAGGAGUGUGUGCGGUUUUUUUUAGAUUGCGGCCGUUCUUGUAUUAGUACCGCGACUAGGGCUAACCGCUAAAGGUGCGAGUCUGCAGGAGUAGCUCCCAGACAAAGACAAGCCUAAGGCAGCAACAAUGUAGUAACAUCUGAAAGCAUCAUUCCCCCCAGCAUGCGUUUCGUUCGCGCACCGCCAUGGACAUGCAAAGCAAAAUUCGCAAACCAAAACAACAACAAAAAACAAAAGAAAAGAUAAUAUGAAAAAAAAUAUCCGAGCGACACGCCGCAUUGUUUGAGCGUGGUUUGUCCAGCCCCAGUUCAGUUAGAUUUGUAAAUUGUAAGUGCGAACACUCUGACACGCGUCUGUCGACAUCUUAGAAAAACCAAACAGAAAAACAAAACAAUAUAAUAAAACCACAAGCAGCAAACAACGGUUGGACGAGGGUGGGUCUAGGGAAGGCGUAUGAGUAAGGGAGCGAAGGCAGUUGACGAAGAAGUAGAAGAAGAAGAAGUGUAAAGAUGAUAACAAUUUCGGGUAAAGAAAUAGAGAGCUAGUGAGAAAGAGAGUAGAGAUUGUGUCGCGAUGAGGAAGAGAAUUAAGUGUUUAGUGACUGUGAGAGUGUGUGCGAGCGAUACUGAAUGAUAUGGAGUGAGUGUCUGUGUGUGACAACGGGUGGAAGAACAUAAGAGAAUGGCAGAUGCUGGUUAUGGAGGAGGCGCAUGAGUAGGACAAACGAAUGAUAGGCAGCCGAGGAAGGGGAAAAAAUAAAUAUUGAUAAAUAAUUUGAUGAAACCAUCGAGUAGUU